UUAAUGUUUAAACACAGUCCCAGAUUUCAUCAUCCAAGGUGCUAUUGACACAACCAGUGCAGUGCUCAAUGCCCAGCAGAUACAAAAGAAACUCCUACUGACAGUGCUAGCCAGGAGAAGCAGGAGUUCUUUUCUCCUAAGGCCACAGCAAGUGGAUGAUAAUGCUUCGUAAGGUAUGGACAAGGUUCUGACCCUUAUUAUUGGAACUCAAAUCCAGAUGGAGUUUGUUGGGUCUUCACAUCAUUGGAAGGUGAAUAGAAAAGUAUGUCUUCAGAAUUUCACCAUGUUUUGGAAGAAUUGCAGCAAUAAAGAAAGAAUUCCUUUGUUUCCACUCCAUUUCUUUUAAGGAAAACCUGGAAUAUCUGAGGGUGCAAGCUGAGAAAGGUCUGCUUAUCUAUUCCCUACUCUGGAGAUCAAAAACAAUCCAAGUCUACUGUUCUCUUCUCCUGGCACUCUUAACUUGUACACAUUGCAACAUUUUAUGUCAAAGUAAUGAUCAAGCUAUCCUAACAAGGACGAGCCCUUAUUAAAUAAUUCACUAUGGUUGGGAAA